GAACUUGCGCAAUGUUUGAGAUGGUAAUGGCUACUUUCAUGCAAUAACUGAUUUUUUGUUUGUCGGUUUUACCAAAUCUUUCCAUGUUAUGCAUUUUGGACAUUAGCUACUAGAUAUUCUGGUUGUUGAUGGGCUCUACCGCCAUAAACUCUGAUCUUGAACUUCAUGCUCAUCUUACAGCACUAGUGAGUAUAAGUAUGAGUUCUUUAAGAAUAACAAAUUUUUGCUCAGUUAUUGUUAGACAGCUACAAGGCCAGUGCACUUUUGCUCUUCUUGUUAUUAUAAUUUUUUUUUUCAUGCUUAUUUUCCGUUGCUUUUAGAUGUGUUGAACAUUUGGUUACUAUAUUUUUUUUUUUUGAAUUAGGGUUCUAGUGGAGGUGUAGAUGG
rnacentral:misc_RNA from 1 species